rnacentral:rRNA from 1 species
CCUACGGGAGGCAGCAGUAGGGAAUAUUGCUCAAUGGGGGAAACCCUGAAGCAGCAACGCCGCGUGGAGGAUGAAGGUUUUAGGAUUGUAAACCCCUUUUGUUAGAGAAGAUUAUGACGGUAUCUAACGAAUCAGCACCGGCUAACUCCGGGCCAGCAGCCGCGGUAAUACGGCGGGUGCAAGCGUUACUCGGAAUCACUGGGCGUAAAGCGUGCGUAGGCGGGGUAAUAAGUCAGAUGUGAAAACCUGUGGCUUAACUACAGAACUGCAUUUGAAACUGGGACUCUGGAGUGUGGGUGAGGAAGGUGGAAUGCGUGGUGUAGGGGUGAAAUCCGUAGAGAUCAAGAAGAACACUCAUUGCGAAGGCGGCCUGCUGGAACGUUACUGACGCUGAGGCACGAAAGCGUGGGGAGCAAACAGGAUUAGAUACCCGUGUAGUC